rnacentral:rRNA from 1 species
UACGGAGGGUGCGAGCGUUGUUCGGAAUUACUGGGCGUAAAGCGCGUGCAGGCGGCCGACUAAGUCAGGUGUGAAAGCCCGGGGCUCACCUCCGGAAGUGCGCUUGAAACUGGUCGGCUGGAGUACGGGAGAGGGAAGCGGAAUUCCUGGUGUAGCGGUGAAAUGCGCAGAUAUCAGGAAGAACACCAACGGCGAAGGCAGCUCGCUGGGACGGUACUGACGCUGAGACGCGAAAGCGUGGGGAGCGAACAGG